UACAGAGGUGGCAAGCGUUGUUCGGAAUUACUGGGCGUAAAGGGCGCGUAGGCGGUUGCCUAAGUCGGACGUGAAAUCCCCAAGCUUAACUUGGGAACUGCAUCUGAUACUGGGUGACUUGAGUUCGGGAGAGGAAUGUGGAAUUCCAGGUGUAGCGGUGAAAUGCGUAGAUAUCUGGAGGAACACCGGUGGCGAAGGCGGCAUUCUGGACCGAAACUGACGCUGAGGCACGAAAGCGUGGGGAGCAAACAGG
rnacentral:rRNA from 1 species